rnacentral:misc_RNA from 1 species
CAACCCUCAGAGCGGCCUCGGCCGCCCUGGUGUUGGGGCUUCCCCGGCCGUCACGCCGCGGGCCCCGAAAGUCAUCGGCGGUGUCUGCCAGCACUCCGGGCGCAGUAAAUAAAAUCUCGCCUUGGACGUCUGGCGGUGCCUGCCGCUAAACCAGCAAUGCCGAGAGGCGUCGCACACCCACAGG